rnacentral:rRNA from 1 species
GACGAACGCUGGCGGCGUGCCUAAUACAUGCAAGUGGGACGCAAGGAAACACACUGUGCUUGCACACCGUGUUUUCUUGAGUCGCGAACGGGUGAGUAACGCGUAGGUAACCUGCCUAUUAGCGGGGGAUAACUAUUGGAAACGAUAGCUAAUACCGCAUAAUAUUAAUUAUUGCAUGAUAAUUGAUUGAAAGAUGCAAGCGCAUCACUAGUAGAUGGACCUGCGUUGUAUUAGCUAGUUGGUAAGGUAAGAGCUUACCAAGGCGACGAUACAUAGCCGACCUGAGAGGGUGGUCGGCCACACUGGGAAUGGGACACGGCCCAGACUCCUACGGGAGGCAGCAGUAGGGAAUCUUCGGCAAUGGACGAAAGUCUGACCGAGCAACGCCGCGUGAGUGAAGAAGGUUUUCGGAUCGUAAAGCUCUGUUGUAAGUCAAGAACGUGUGUGAGAGUGGAAAGUUCACACAGUGACGGUAGCUUACCAGAAAGGGACGGCUAACUACGUG